GGCCCGUUGGUCAAACGGUUAAGACACGGCCCUUUCACGGCUGAGAUAGGAGUUCGAUUCUCCUACGGGUCACUA
rnacentral:tRNA from 1 species